UGGGGAAUUUUGCACAAUGGGGGAAACCCUGAUGCAGCGACGCCGCGUGAUUUAGAAGGCCUUCGGGUUGUAAAAAUCUUUUCUAUGGGAAGAAAAUGACAGUACCAUAGGAAUAAGGACUGGCUAAUUACGUGCCAGCAGCCGCGGUAAUACGUAAGGUCCGAGCGUUGUCCGGAAUCAUUGGGCGUAAAGCGCUCGUAGGCGGUCUGUUAGGUCGGCCAGUUAAAUCCGGGGGCUCCACCCCCGUCCGCUUCCGAUACCGGCCGCCUUGACUUUGGUAGCGGAAGGUGGACUUCCUUGUGUAUCGGUGGACUCCGCAGAUAUUAGGAAGACCACCGGUCGCGAACGCGGCCUUCUGGGCCAUCACUGACGCUGGGGGGCGACAGCUAGGGGAGCGAACAGG
rnacentral:rRNA from 1 species